GGGGAAUAUUGCACAAUGGGGGAAACCCUGAUGCAGCGACGCCGCGUGAAGGAAGAAGGUUUUCGGAUCGUAAACUUCUAUCAGCAGGGAAGAAGAAAGUGACAGUACCUGACUAAGAAGCCCCGGCUAACUACGUGCCAGCAGCCGCGGUAAUACGUAGGGGGCAAGCGUUAUCCGGAAUCACUGGGUGUAAAGGGUGCGUAGGCGGUAGGGCAAGUCAGAUGUGAAAGCCCGGGGCUCAACUCCGGGACUGCAUUUGAAACUGUCUUACUAGAGUGCAGGAGAGGAAAGCGGAAUUCCUAGUGUAGCGGUGAAAUGCGUAGAUAUUAGGAAGAACACCAGUGGCGAAGGCGGCUUUCUGGACUGUAACUGACGCUGAGGCACGAAAGCGUGGGGAGCGAAC
rnacentral:rRNA from 1 species